rnacentral:lncRNA from 1 species
AAGAGUUGGCACCUAAUUGGCUUGGUUUGAGUCUAAUUGGAUUAGAUUUAAUAAAUCAUUCAAUCUAGACCGUUAGAUCUUGAUCUACCGUUGGAUGAAGAUAUAAUGGAGAGUUGGUUUAACCCAAUUGGAUUGAGUUAGAGGGUGGCUACCAUAAUUGACCAUUGGAUCUUAAUCCCACCAUUGGAUGAAGACAUAAUGGGUCAAGUGAAUGGCGCCUUGCAUUGGAGCCCUUGGAUCAUUAUCAUGAAAGAUCAAGAGGUGAGGCGUGAUGGACAUGUGAUUAGCAUGUGAUGUUGACUUGGUCAAAAUAUGGCACCACAUGAAAGGACAUAUCAUU